AUGUAUUGCGAUAAAAGCCGUGAUGCUAUCAUUGUGCUUGAGGCUGUAGCAUCUCAGGACACAUGGAUUUGGCAUGCAUUCUUUGGGUUGCCAGAAACACUCAAUGAUAUCAAUAUCCUCAAUAGAUCUCCUUUGUUCAAAAGAUUAAUUUCUGGGGAUGCUCCAGCUUGCAACUACAAAAUCAUAGACAAUGAGUACUCAAUGAGAUACUAUCUCACCGAUGGCAUCUAUCCCAAAUGGGCAACUCUUGUGAAGUCCAUCAAGGAGAAAAAUGGGGUGCCCUUAACAAGAAAAGAGGCUCAUUUCAACAAGGCACAAGAGGCAGCCCGCAAGGAUAUUGAGAGAGCUUUCGGUGUUUUGCAAGCAAGGUUUGCCAUAGUUCGUGGUCCAACUCGUUUUUGGGACAAAAAAACCUUGGUGAACAUCAUGAAAUGUUGUGUGAUUCUACACAACAUGAUCCUAGAGGAUGAGAGAGGGUUAAACCUCCCUUGUUUCUAUGACAAUGUUGGUACCCGUGUGCAACCGGAAAGAAACCCUUCUCGCAUACACGCUUUUCUUCAAGCACAUCGUCAGAUUAAGGAUGCAACCACUCAUGGUCGGCUCCGGGAUGAUCUAGUAGAGCACCACUAA
rnacentral:rRNA from 1 species